rnacentral:rRNA from 1 species
CCUACGGGGGGCUGCAGUGAGGAAUAUUGGUCAAUGGCCGAGAGGCUGAACCAGCCAAGUCGCGUGAGGGAAGACGGCCCUACGGGUUGUAAACCUCUUUUGUCGGGGAGCAAAGCGAACCACGUGUGGUUCCUUGAGAGUACCCGAAGAAAAAGCAUAGGCUCACUCCGUUCCAGCAGCCGCGCUAAUACGGAGGAUGCGAGCGUUAUCCGGUUUUAUUGGGUUUAACGGGUGCGUAGAGGGUCCGGACAGUCAGCGGUAAAAGACCGGGGCUCAACCCCGGCGGGCCGUUGAAACUGUCGGACUAGAGACGGCGAGAAGUACGCGGAAUGCGCGGUGUAGCGGUGAAAGGCAUAGAUAUCGGGCAGAACUCCGAUUGCGAAGGCAGCGUACCGGCGCCGGACUGACGCUGAGGCACGAAAGCGUGGGUAUCGAACAGGAUUAGAUACCCGUGUAGUC